rnacentral:lncRNA from 1 species
AAAAAAAUUCAACUGCUCGCUUUUUUCCACGAUCUAUAUUCCCCACUUUAUCACUUUUCCUCUUCAACAAUUGGAAAAAAACAUUAUUUCUUCCGCCUCUUACUUUGCCUCCCCUCUUCCCAUCAUUUCCUUCUUGGAUUCCAAUUCAUCUAUAGGGUAUGAUGGUGUUACAUGAUUUACUUUUAGGGUUCAUCAUCAAUCACAUGUCUCUUCCUCUAUGCAAGUUUUCGGAUUUUUCAAGUUUAUAAAUUUCGUUAUAGUUCAAUUAUCUUCUCUCUAGUGAUUUGAUGUUAUUGUGUCUGCAAAUUUUAGACUUUUGGCAUUACUGUGUUAACCCACUGAUCCACAUGGUCUAUUCUCUUAUCCAAAUUUCAUAAGUUUCUCUGCUCAUAAAAUUUUCUCUAUUUAACAAAAACAACUUUUUAUUUGCAGGUUCAUAUUCCAAAUUCCAAUCUCCAAUUAUGCCGCUCAAUAUU